AUACUGAGGGUGCUAGCGUUGUCGGGAAUCACUGGGCGUAAAGCGCGCGUAGGCGGUUCUGUAAGUCGCUUGAGAAAUCCCGGGGCUCAACCCCGGGGCUGCAGGCGAUACUGCAAGACUAGAGCUCGGUAGAGGCAAGUGGAAUUCCCGGUGUAGCGGUGGAAUGCGUAGAUAUCGGGAAGAACACCGGUGGCGAAGGCGGCUUGCUGGGCCGAUGCUGACGCUGAGGUGCGAAAGCGUGGGGAGCAAACAGGAUUAGAAACCCGAGUAGUCC
rnacentral:rRNA from 1 species